UUUAGACUUUUUAGUCCAAUCACGUGAACAAUUCAUGAACUUAGUCCAAUUCAAAAUUGUCCACGAAGCAAGUGUUACGUGUGUUAUUUCUCAACGAAACACUGCGCACUUUAUCCGUUUCCAUAUGAAAAAGUCUCAAAGAAAAUCGUGAAAUGUACUUUACCGUGACUCUCAAUCACGAUACCUGUCCUCCACGUUGAUCACUUUUCAGUAUAAAUACCGCGAAGUUUUCCUCAAUUAGCAUUAUCAGUUCAACUUGUCAACUGAAGCUUAUCCAACAAUCUAUCCAAGAUGAUGAAAUUCUUGAUCUUCGCUUUCUUCGUCGCCUUCGCUGUGGCCACUGCUUUUGCUGCUCCUGAGCCUAACCCAGCUCCUCGUCCAAUUCCAGUUGCCCUCCCAUACCCACAGCCACAACAUCAUGGAUAUGGCUAUUAUCCUACUUAUUAUUAUUAAAACGAAAAAGAAAACACUGGACCCUGCUGAGGAGAUAAAAUUUAACAAUUAUUGUUUAAAUUUUUCCUCAAAAUGUAAAAUCUCUCAAAUACAAUUUUAAAAAUCGUAA